UACCAGCACCCCGAGUGGUCGGGACGAUUAUUGGGCCUAAAGCAUCCGUAGCCGGUUUUACAAGUCCUCCGUUAAAUCCAGCUGCUUAACAGAUGGGCUGCGGAGGAUACUAUAAGACUAGGAGGCAGGAGAGGCAAGCGGUACUCAGUGGGUAGGGGUAAAAUCCGUUGAUCCAUUGAAGACCACCAGUGGCGAAGGUGGCUUGCCAGAAUGCGCUCGACGGUGAGGGAUGAAAGCUGGGGGAGCAAACCGG
rnacentral:rRNA from 1 species